rnacentral:lncRNA from 1 species
CAAUCGUUUGGUCUCCAGCACAUCUCAAUCAAGUUUUACAUUUGGCCAUAGGUCAAAACUAGAUGUGCUUGGGAAUCUUAUUAUUUCCUUUCAAUGCACAUUUAGAACAAUGAUUAAGGGUUGCAUAACUGAUUGUUGUAGUUGUGGUGUUUGUGCGUGCAUUUAAAAAUCAGAAUGGAAAUGGGAAAAGUGUCAAAGAGACAACAACACGACCAAAGAGCAGAAAACAGCCACCGAAGUCAACCAAUAGGUAUUCAACACGAGAAAACUCCGCACUUGGAGGCGGUCUUCAGCUGCCUUCUAAACAAAAAUAUGUAUUAGUUUAGUGAAAAAUGGACGUCAUACUUAACCUCAAAAUAUAAAAAUAAACUUUGAUUAAAAAUCAUUCAAGACUUUAAACAAAGGUCAUAGGCUCCUGACUUCGGACAGGUGUCAAAAUGUGCAAGGUUAAACAUGUUUUGUGAUAUGUCAACCCUCUCCCUAUAUCUCUAGCGAAUAUAGAAAAACCGAACACACAUCAAUACGCACAGUAAAACUCGGUCUCAAAGAAGUCCGAGUCCGAUUUCAGAAUAGUUGACAAAAUGACAAUGAUACAUAAAUUUUGUACAGACAGAAAGCAUGUACAAUGUAUAGCUUUCAUAAAGCUAUUGAUAUAGAAAUGAGGAGAUGUUGUACGAUUGCCAAUGAAACAACAUCCACCAACAACCAAAGACCAAGAGAGGAUAAAACAGAACGUCACCGUAAUACUCUUACAGAUUAACAAAUGUAUGUUUUCAAUAAGCUAUAAAAUAAAAUUGAGAAUGGAAAUGGGGAAUGUGUCAAAGAGACAACAACCUGACCAUAGAGCAGACAACAGCGUGUAAAAGAAUGAAAUAAAGUGAAACAAUAAUAAAAAAAACCACCAGCGGUCUUAUCAUUAUAAAAAACAAUAAUAAAAUAAAACUAUGACGACACAUACAAUAACCGACGAGACCACUCGGCUACAAACUGUUCAAUCAAAGAAAACACAUGACUGCUAGUUUUCAUUCUGCAACACCAAAAUCUUACAUAUGACUUUUUAGAAUGCUAGAUUGUAGUUUUAUUGAAGGCAAAAAAUAAUUCUAGUAAUAAUAGUACAGUCACGAGGCUCCUUUUACGUAGAUAACAAACAUGACAACAUCAUUAACCUUUUACGGACCAACUCAGAUGAUCAAAAUGUAAGUAACUUACUCACUAAUGCACACUCUUUCGUUCACUUGCAUGCUUUUGAAAACUGAACAAGUUAACUCGCCUCAAUAAGUAUAAUUAACUGUUUGUUUUAAAUAUAUCUGGAAAAAGGUAGACACAGAGCCAGAGCUAGAAAAAGAGCUAGCGUUUCACACCUUUUCCAAUUUCCCUUUCGCUUCUUUUGAAGUUAACUUGAUUUGAUUCCUGAUCGAUUUAGAAGAUUAAAAAAAAAAAACAUCAGUAAAAAAUUGAAAACACCACGUUCAAUAACUUCAUGCGUCCGAAGCGUUUUUCUGGAUUUACCUUCAUCAGGAACGCUCAAAGCCAAAUUUGAAAGCUGAGGAUGUAUAAGUACUGAAACAGUUGUAGAGCUAUAUGAUAAAAAAAAUCCCCCCCAAAACAAGCCAAAUCCAUCUAAGGCCAACUUUGCCUGAGGGAGUUGAAACCUUUGUUUCUUUAUAAUUUCAAAAUUUAUCAACGGACAAUUUUAGAAGGGUUUGUUAUAAAUCAUGUCAGUACUGCAGUAUUGACUACUGAGCAGAUGAUAUCCUCGGGGACUGAUAGUCCACCAGCAGAAACUACAGUUGCUUGUAUUUUUGUCUGAACACACAGAGUGUUUACUUAACCGCAU